rnacentral:rRNA from 1 species
AUAGUUGACGCCUGUGAUGGCGUGCCUUUUGCAUAAUGAGCCAACGAGUUAAUGUCAUAAGCGAGGUUAAGUAUUAGAGGUAUGUAGCCGUAGCGAAAGCGAGUCCGAAGAGGGCGUAUAAGUUUAUGGUAUUAGACCCGAAACCAGGUGAUCUACCUAUGGUCAGGUUGAAAGUUGGGUAAAACCAACUGGAGGACCGCACCAACCGUCGUUGAAAAGGCGGUGGAGGAACUGUGGGUAGGGGUGAAAGGCCAAACAAACCUGGAGAUAGCUGGUUCUCUCCGAAACAUAUUUAGGUAUGGCCUCAGUGGAGAUUAUUGGAGGUAGAGCACUGAAUGGGCUAGGGGGCUUACACGCUUACUGAACCCAAUCAAACUCCGAAUGCCAAUAAUUGCUCACUGGGAGACAGGGCGCGGGCGAUAAGGUUCGCGUGCGAGAGGGGAACAACCCAGACUGUCAGCUAAGGCCCCGAAAUAGAUACUUAGUGCGUAAGGAUGUUCAAUUGCCCAGACAGCCAGGAUCUUGGCUUAGAAGCAGCCAUGAUUUAAAGAGUGCGUAACAGCUCACUGGUCGAGUGGUAGGGCACCGAAGAUAAUCGGGACUGAAGUAUCUUGCCGAAGCUGCGGACUUGCAUAUAGAUGUGAGUGGUAGGAGAGCAUUGUGAUUGCGCAGAAGGUGUAUUGUGAGAUAUGCUGGAGCGGUCACAAGAGACCAUGUUGGCAUGAGUAACGAUAAUGCGGGUGAGAAACCCGCACACCAUAAGCCCAAGGAUUCCUGAGUAAAGUUAAUCUUCUCAGGGUUAGUCGGUCCCUAAGGUAUAGCGAUAAGGCGAAGCUGAUGGGAAUCAGGUUAAUAAUCCUGAACCUGAGUAUUGAGUGAAGGAGUGACGCGACGGUGCUGCAAGGACAGCUGUUGGAAUAGCUGUUGAAUGCAGGUAGGAAGUGAGACAGGUAAAUCCGUUUCACAGAUAUUCCGAGAUGCAGGACGAGGCGUAAGCCGUAAAGCUUGUUUAGAGACGUUGCCGAGAAAUAGCUUCUAGCGUUAAUCAAUAUUCAGACCGUACCGCAAACCGACACAGGUGGGCGAGGAGAGUAUCCUAAGGUGUUCGAGUGAACUCUGGUUAAGGAACUAGGCAAAAUUACCCCGUAACUUCGGGAGAAGGGGUGCCCCGUUAUCGUGAUUAGUCAGCGCUAUGAGCGAGAGGGGGCCGCAGUGAAUAGGCCCAAGCGACUGUUUAUCAAAAACACAGGUCUAUGCGAAGGCGAAAGCCACGGUAUAUAGACUGACACCUGCCCGGUGCCGGAAGGUUAAGUGGAGAGGUUAGCCUGCACUAAUUUUAUCAUAGUGAAGAGAGAAGAGAGAAGGGUUAAGAGAGAAGUAGAGAAGAGUAAAAGAGAUAAAGAUAAGAGAUGGUGAAAUUAGUGCAGGCGAAGCUUCGAAAUGAAGCCCCGGUAAACGGCGGCCGUAACUAUAACGGUCCUAAGGUAGCGAAAUUCCUUGUCGGGUAAGUUCCGACCUGCACGAAUGGUGUAACGAUUUGGGCGCUGUCUCAACCAGGGGCUCGGUGAAAUUGAAGUAGCGGUGAAGAUGCCGCUUACCCGCGAACGGACGGAAAGACCCCGUGAACCUUUACUGUAGCUUGGCAUUGUAAAUUGGUGCAGUAUGUGUAGGAUAGGUGGGAGGCUAUGAGGCGUGCACGCCAGUGUGCGCGGAGCCAGCGUUGAAAUACCACCCUUAUUGUAUUGAUUUACUAACGAUAGAGCAACUAUUGGACAUUGCCAGGUGGGCAGUUUGACUGGGGCGGUCGCCUCCGAAAGAGUAACGGAGGCUUACCAAGGUUCCCUCCGGCUGGUUGGUAAUCAGCCAAAGAGCGCAAAGGUAUAAGGGAGCUUAACUGCGAGACCGACGGGUCGAGCAGGUGGGAAACCAGGUCUUAGUGAUCCGGCGGUUCUGAAUGGAAGGGCCGUUGCUCAAAGGAUAAAAGGUACUCCGGGGAUAACAGGCUGAUACCGCCCAAGAGUUCACAUCGACGGCGGUGUUUGGCACCUCGAUGUCGGCUCA